rnacentral:rRNA from 1 species
GACGAACGCUGGCGGCGUGCUUAACACAUGCAAGUCGAACGGAAAGGCCCUGCUUUUGUGGGGUGCUCGAGUGGCGAACGGGUGAGUAACACGUGAGUAACCUGCCCUUGACUUUGGGAUAACUUCAGGAAACUGGGGCUAAUACCGGAUAGGAGCUCCUGCUGCAUGGUGGGGGUUGGAAAGUUUCGGCGGUUGGGGAUGGACUCGCGGCUUAUCAGCUUGUUGGUGGGGUAGUGGCUUACCAAGGCUUUGACGGGUAGCCGGCCUGGGAGGGUGACCGGCCACAUUGGGACUGAGAUACGGCCCAGACUCGUACGGGAGGCAGCAGUGGGGAAUAUUGCACAGUGGGCGGAAGCCUGAUGCGGCAACGCCGCGUGCGGGAUGACGGCCUUCGGGUUGUAAACCGCUUUCGCCUGAGACGAAGCGUGAGUGACGGUAAUGGGUAAAGAAGCACCGGCUAACUACGUG